UCUGAAAUUUCCAGGUGCACCAUGUCGC
rnacentral:sRNA from 1 species